GUACGUUGGAAAAAAAGACCUACUGUGGUGUGGUUGAGAUCUGUUGGGGACAACGGUGAAGUGGGGAGGGUAGGUAGUCACGUAGUGAUAGCUUCUCCUGCCCCAGCCUUCCAGCUGGUGAGCAACAGCAAGACCUUCCAUCGGGUGGAUGAGCCUCGAACCUGGAAAGAGGCCAUGUGGUAUUGCCAGGAACAUUACACUGACCUUGCUGACCUGCAGAGCAUGAACAGCCUAGUGAGCAUCAUGGUAGUCUACUCCUACACCAGCAGCAUCCACGCGUGGAUCGGCCUCUUCUAUGAUGUGCGCAUCUCUGGCCUGAGCUGGUCUAGUGGCUCCAUCUUUACUAUGCCAACAUGGACUACUACGAUGCCUGUCUUCCGGGAUGGACUCUGUGCUACUCUGUAUUCAUGGUACAGUCUACCUGCCCUGGGAGCUUCCCCCUGCACAGACCAGAAGCCCUUCAUUUGCUAUUUAGGUGUGUGCAGAAUAGUAUUCUGGGCCUGUUCUCUUCAGGACUGUUUGUUUUUUUUUUUGGGGGGGGGGGAUAGGGGUGGGAAAGGAGUGUGUGUUUUCUGUUUUGUGUGUAUGUGUGUGAGAGUGUGUGUGAGUGUGUGUUUUGUGUGUGAGUGUGUGUGUGACAUCUAUGAGAGUGACUGGAUGUUCCCUCACCCUCUUCAUAUUUAUUUCCUCUGUGAUCUUAGCCUUUCUGUACUCAAUCCCCAACACCUCACCAAAGAACUGGGUAUGAAUAAGGAUAGAGAAAAUAAAAUCUGGAAUGUUCCACUAAAUCUCUUCUGCCAUUUGCCACUUAAAGAUUUGAGCAAGGAAGAAAAUGGGAAAGAUAGGUUGGAGGUCAUUUAUCCAUGAAGAAAUGAAAGCAGACCUCGAGGUCUUGACUGACAAGGUAUAGGGUCUGGUCUACUGCCUUACUUGGUGGCAGAGAGAACAUUUUUUCCAUGAGACCUUUUGCUAUUUGCUAAGGUGUGGGUAGGUCCAACUCCAGACGGCAUUGCUGGAGAUCAGCCAUCAGCUCAUCAUGGUGCUGGCUGCUGGGGGAAUGUCCCAUCUUUGUGUUCUACCUAUACUGCCUGCCCCUUGGCAUCCACACUACUACCUUGGUGGGAGAGGUCACACAGAUGUAUGGUUGUGGACAGAGCUGCAGCUUCCUGGUAAACGUGCCAACUUCUGCCUUUCCUGACCAUCGAAGGCUCAGUACAAUUCUAUGCCACCCUUAUUGCCCAGAUACUGGCAUGGAGGUCAAUCUGCCAUUUCUCCAAGGCAUAGUCAUGGUUGCCAUGAAGCCCUUGAAACAGAAGCCCGUGAUGGCUUUGGCUUUAACUCUAGAUCCCAAGGGAAUAUAAAGAUCUCCAGGGGUGGCCAGGGAGUCUAGUAGAAAUCCCGCAGAAAUACGUUUCCUUUUGCUUCCUUGUAUUAAACUCAACUACAACACUCUCCUAUCACACUGUUUUCUCCAGUUCUGCAGGUUCAUUGUGAGUGCAUGGGUCAAAUGGCCAUUCACUUCUCUAAGUCUGCCCUGUGGCCACUGCCGUUUGUUGUCUGAACCGAGUGAGUUUUAACAGACACUGGAUAACUUCCUUACAAAAUCCUCAGCAGAAAUUCAAAGCACUUGGAAUAUCAUUCUUUUCAUAGACAACAAUGCCCUGUCUGGUCUCCUUGGCCCCACUGCUCAGCCCUUUCUCUAGCUGUGGUGUAUUGAUUCAUUUCUGUCCCCCAAUCCACACGGCUCCUCUCUGCAGUUGACUGCAGCUGUCCUCACUCGGUUGGGACUUGGUGGUUCAUAUUCUCAAAAGGAAAGACUCUGCUUACUAUGUUUAUGUCAUUUUCCUAGGGAGUAGUACCAGGCAUACAAUAGGAACUUAAUCUAUAUUUAUUGAAUAGAGAAUGGGUGAGGCUACUUUUGAAUUUCUUUUGGCUCUAACCUGGUGGUUCCUCAGCAGUUCUCAUUCCCUACCUCAUAAUUUGAAGUCUGCUUCUGUUUUUACAGACCCUGCUAUAGGACACCACGCCUCCUUGGUGUCCCCUGUCAAGGACCUGACCACUCUUCCAGAGGAAGGUAAGACACCUGGCUUUGACUUCCCUUUCCUGGGGUCUUGCCUUACUUUGCCUUGGGCUCAUCUCCCUGGACAGAUGUCGAUCACUAUGGUUCCCUCUGCCUUCUCCCUUUUCCCCCUGACUUGUUGUUUUACAUUGGGGUCCCCAGGCUGAAAACCCAGGGACUGAUGGAGGCAAGCCUGGAAAGAACAGAGUGGAGAGUAACUAGUUCUGGGUCUCCUGGUAGUGUGUAACUAGUUGCAAGCCUGCCAAUGGGUCUUCCUCUGGGAGUUAGGGGUUGGGUGAUGAGUGGGUAGGUAGGACUCCUUCACAACUCAGGUCUCUGCCUAGAGAGGGGUAGUUCCUUCAAGAUUCCUGCCCCUUGAACAACACUGCCCUGGUGUUUAAAAAGAAAGUUUCUUCUUAUCUGAUAGAGAAAAAUUCUAUGAUGAAAGGAAUAGAGUCAAUACCUUUACAUUUACGGUUCGUGCUCUGAGUGUUCUAGAAUACAGAGUGAAGUCGCAAGGGCUUCCAAGGCACCAAGACCUGUGCUUUAAUCACAUCCUGACACUGAAUUUGGGGCAAACUAUCACCUCUUUCACCUAAGCUGUGAAAUAAGAUUAAUAAUGGCUACUUCUCAGGAUGACAGUGAACAUCAAGAAGUCAUGUAGUCCAAAGGCACACAUCAAGGCUGGCACAUACUAGGGGAAUAACAUAGAGUAACUUUAAAAGGUUGGUUUUGGGGUUGGUGAGAUGGCUCAGUGAGUGAGUAAAGGUGCUUGCUGCCAAACCUGAUGACCUGAGUUCAGUCACUGGGACACACAUGAUAGAGAGAGAGAAGUGAUUUCUGCAAGUUAUCUUCUGACCUUUGUGUGCGUGCCGGGUCACAUUUAGAUAGGGAAACAAGCAUGUCUUAAUGGCCUGAGGAGAGCAGGUGCCAGAGGGGAGGAAGGGGCUCUAGUUUGAACGGGAGGACAUGACUCAAGAUUCUGCAAACAGUCUUUUCUUUAUCCAAACAUUCAGAGACAACACAGGUGGAGCUGCAGUGGCUCACACCCUUUCCCAAACUCCCAUUGCUAGGAGCCAGAGAGGCAUGGGCUUGAAGGGGUCUCUCAGGGUAGAACUUGUUUCUGAGACUCAGCCUGGAAUUCAGCAAUUCAGCCUGGAAAAGGGAGGUAGUGUGUUUGGGAGACUAUUAUCUUCUCUCUCUGAGCUCAUGAAUAGCAGAUCUGCUGGAAACAGCCUGCUAUGCUUCCUGCCCACCAGAUCUGCACUGAUGUGGUUGGCUCCUAAGAGAUCCCACCCUCUAGGGAGGGAAGGAGGGAGGGAGGGAGGGAGGGAAUCAUAGGAAUGACCUACUACUGUCUCUCAAAUAGUGCCUAUCAUUUUAUUAAGUUCUAAUGUGUUGUUUUAUGCAAUCCUGACUCUCUGUAUUAUUAUUUUUAUUGGACAGAUGAAGUGACUGAAACAUAAAUUUAACUUGUAAAACCAAACAGCUAUAUGAAGAGCCAUUUCUUCAAUGGCCCCCCACCCCGCACACCAGCUACUGCUGCUUUAUCUCAUUCUUCCAACUUGGUAGUUUCCCUGUAAUAUAGUGCUUUUGAUCAAACCUUACCUCUGAUGAUACAGGCCAUAGAACCUGGAUCUCAGAUCUGUGGUCUCUGUAUUCUUUGCCUCCAGCUGAGGUCAAGAUUGGUGGACAGACCUUCAUUCGGAUUAAACAAACCAUGACAUGGCUCUCGGCUCUGAACUACUGUCGAAACCACUACACAGACCUGGCCGAUCUGCAGAGAGUGACCAACGAGGACAAAGAAACUCUCAAGUUCAUCAUAAAUGAUGAUGAUGCCUGGAUUGGCCUCUACUUCAAUGUAAAGAUCAAAAAUCUGACCUGGUCCAGUGAUCAGGGUUCCAGCAUCCCUGAGUGGCUACAGGACUUGCCUAUGUUUGGUCAAGGACUGUGUGCAGGACUCCGCACCUUUGCAAAUCACCCACCUCAGAUUUAUGCUCUGCUUUGUCCUAAACUGAAACCUUUUAUCUGUUUCUAUGGUAUGUGAGACUGUCCUUGGAUCACUGAGGUUAAAAUGAAUUUAUUAGACAGUGGAGGAUACCCAGGGUAGACCUAGGCAAGCACUGGAGGCUUUGAGGGUGACAGAACUAUAAGGGAGUUGUAAUUCUUAAAUCCCACCCAGCCUUGUGCCAUUAGCUGCUAGCAUCAACAGUUAGUCAUCAGAGAGAUUAAGUAACCAUGAACCUGCACUUUACAAUCAGGUAGACUUUACCAUUUUCUAGCAAACAGGCAGAAUCUGAGUUCACCUUUCCUCAUCUGGAAAACAUACUUUACAAAUUUGGAUUGAGGACAUCCACCUCAUAGGAUGUCUGAAGGUAAUGGCAGCUAUGAUCACUAUGAAUCUGAGGGCAGAAGGGGACUCUGGAUCUUGUAUGUAUACAAUGUGCUUCCUCAGUGAGGGCCCUUCUCUCUUGCCCUUUGCUCUCAGGACCCCUCCUUCUUUUGUACCUUUGUUGAGAGAGAGUCCACAUGGGUUAUGACAAACUUUUGAAGUGUACAGUUCAGUGGGUUUUACUGUUUACCUGCUAUUCAACUGUCACCGCUGUCCAACUUAAGGACAAUUCCAUCACCCUCAAAUGUCCUUACUACAUGGUCAUGUUCUACUUUCCCCUUGGCAACCAAAAUAGACUUAUGUCUCUCUGGAUUUGCCUAUUUGUAGCUGUUUCUUUUCCUCUUUGAUUUUAAGACAAUCUUGGCCUUACAAUCUUACAAUCUGUAAGACUGUAAAUGCUCCUUGAUGAGCUGUUGUUAAGAUUAAAGGCGAGAGGACCUAUCCAUCCAGUGAUUUGUUCAGUGUGCAGUAGUGUUUUUGCUCUGAUGGAGGCUGCCUGGCAGUGUCUGUUGACUUCCCUUAGGGUUGGUGUGACAGGGCCUGCACUUACACUCUAUUUUCUCACAGACUCCUCCAUUGGACAUCGGAAGUCGGCAGAGAUGCCCCCACUUGUUGAUACUUCCUCCCCUAGAGUUCCUACAAGGACAACCUCUAGGCCAAACACAGGUAUAUUGAGUCUGUUUUUGGCUCUGUCUAGGGUCUUCUAGGCCUAGGAAACUAGAGAAAACAAUUGGUCUACAUGCAGCAACCCAGGGUGGAACUCAAGUGAGCAGCCCUCCCUGAAGUGCUAGUGAGUGAACAGAGGUGGGGUAUGCCACUUGUGUGGCAAUCAACUACUUACACCAAUGAAUCGUCGCCUCCUCCUCCUCCUGCUUGGCUAACCAAGGUAGGAAAAUAAGGAAUUGGUUUACCAAAGACAUCCUUCUUUGUGGGCUUCUGAGUUUGAAGCUCUAGGGCCAGGAGACCUGAGAAGCUGUGCAGUUUCUCAGGUGAAGAAAUAAAGGCUUAGGACCCAAAGGGAUAGAUGACUGAGCAAUACUCCUGAGGGAUAGAUGGUUGAGUGAUGCUCCUGGCUCACCAGAGAGGCCUUGGAGGCUCAGCAGCCAGAGAAAGGAAGCCUAACACAGUAGACCCAUUAUCCUUUUUAGAGUACGAUCCUGUGCUGGCAGAGGUUUUGGGAUGUGGUUAUAAGUUAGGACAAUUGACUAAGUCAGACCCAACAAUGGGGACAAAUACAACCAUGAAGACCUCCAAACGAAGCAAAGGCAGGGCUCAUUCUGAUGGUGCUUAGAGUCAGCCAGGUAAAGGUUGGUACUGUGAUGAACAUACAAGGAACAGGAGCCAUCCAGCCUCUUUAAUAGGGAUGGCAGGAGAGAGGACCUGCCAGCAUGCUUGUGUGGCAAUGUCAUCUCUGAGAGCUGGUAGAAGCACGGUUCCUUUUGGUUAAAAAUCUGGGUUGAGAAACUACCUUCUGCUUUCCUUUUAAGGUCUAACCUGGCAUCCAUCCAGUUAUCUCAGGCUCACUGUUUACUUGUGAUGACUCAAAUAGGUUUAGAAAAUGCUCUCUGCUCAGCUAUCUUCAGUGGAUGAAUACCACCAGGUAUGGCAGAAAAGCAGGGCUUGGAGCUAUGAUCUUCUCUCUGAUCUACCCCACUGGGCAUACUAGGGAGUUCCUGACUUGUGGCUAGGGCUUUGAAAAGGUCUUAUGUCCAGUGCAUGCCAUGUAACCCAUGUCUCUUGCCAUAGGGACCAGCACUGGCCCCAUUGAUUUAUCUCAAGCACUGGAUUCAACAACCUGGACCCCGCAGCAAGUGACUCAUGAACCAAGUGUGGUCAGCUCUGGCACCCAUGACUUCAGCACCUGUGACACCACCACUGCCACUCCGACUACCAUGGGCCUUACAGCUCUCCAACCUCAAGGGAUGGUUUCAACAAGUCCUCUGGCCACCUCUGAACAUUCAGGAGGUACCUUGAUUUUGAGAAGGGUUCAUGAGCCCACUGGUUGCUCCUCUGAGCUUGUCUUUGGGCCCUGGGCACCCAGAAAGCAGUUUGGUUCUGGGAGAUGGGCCUAGGACAGCACUGCUAAUUUCUCAGGUCUUGUCCUUGAACCUUGGGCCCUUGGGAAAAACUGAGUUCUGGAAGAAAAGUCCACAUCACCACUGGUCACUGCCAGAACCACAUCCUUGUAUCUCAGAUCCCCAGAUAGUAUUUCAAUUCUUGAUGAAAGGCUCAUGGCCAUUGCUCAGAGUGAAUCUUUGGAUCUUGCACCCUUGACACUAGCCCAUACUGGUUCUGUGCCUCAAGAAAGUGGAUCAGUUCACCAGGAAGCAGACAGAGCCCCCAGGUUAUCCUUUGCCAAUGGUACUGCAGAAGCUAUGCACCACAGUUCCCUAUAACCCAUGUCUCUUGCCAUAGGGACCAGCACUGGCCCCAUUGAUUUAUCUCAAGCACUGGAUUCAACAACCUGGACCCCGCAGCAAGUGACUCAUGAACCAAGUGUGGUCAGCUCUGGCACCCAUGACUUCAGCACCUGUGACACCACCACUGCCACUCCGACUACCAUGGGCCUUACAGCUCUCCAACCUCAAGGGAUGGUUUCAACAAGUCCUCUGGCCACCUCUGAACAUUCAGGAGGUACCUUGAUUUUGAGAAGGGUUCAUGAGCCCACUGGUCACUUCUCUGAGCUUGUCUUUGGACCAAGUGGGCUCAUGGCUACAGGGGAGGUAGCCACAAGGCUCAGCUCCAGCCACAAUGUUUCAGUUGUUCCCAUGUUAGCAAUUUUCUCUGGGUCCUCAUUCAGCUAGUCCUACAGCUCAGAGAUUCUGUGGAACUUUGCAGAGACCAAAGAGCGAGCUACAGAGUCAUCAUCUGUCUUAGGGAGCCCAGCAGAGAUCCAAAAUUGGCCCAAUGUUUCUGCACUCUGGAGCCUGGACACCAGCAUUCAGACAGCUGGGAGCCUGCCAGGAACUACUACAGGUACUCAUGUGCUUCACUGGGGGCUGGGAACCAGCAGCCAAAUAUCAAGUUACCAAGUGUAGAGCUGAGUGCAGGAGUCACAUGGGCUAGGCAAGGUGGCACUGCAAGCCUCUCUAUAGGGAAUCCUGUCUGGACAGUCCCAGCAUCUAAGCCCAUUCCCUUGAUCAGGAAGGAUAAGGAUGAGGUAAGGUGGUACGAUUUAGGGAAAUCCACCUUUAAGAGCUGAAGUCUGAUGUUAAGACUGGAACAGUGGCUCUGAAAUGUACUAUGCACAGCCUUAGACAACCAAUUUCCCCUCCGUCUCUCCCUCCCUCCUCAUUCUUCUUCCUUCCCUUUCAUUAUCCUUUUUUUUUUUUUUGAGAUAAGGCCUCACUCUAUAGCUUAAGCUGGCCUCUAACUCAUUGCAAUCCUGUCUCAACCUCCUAACUGCUGAGAUAGCAGAAAUGUACCACUACAUCUGUUUCCAUAACUUUCCUCCUCCUCCUCUUCCUCCUCUUCUUCCUCCUUCUGCUGCUGCUGCUUUGUGAGACAGGGUUUCUCUGUCCAGCUCUGGCUGUCCUGGAACUAACUCUGUAGGCCAAGCUGGCUUUGAACUAACAGAGAUCCACCUGCCUCUGAUUCCUAAGUGUGGAGAUUAAAGGCGUGCACCACCAUGCCUGGCUCCCAACCUUCUUAACCUCACUGAAUCCCAUUUUUCUUGAGUCAGUGUGAUAUAGUACCUCUCAAUUUCUGGUUCCAGCAGACAGUAAAUAUAGUUAUUCCCAUCUUAAUUUCAACUUACCAGUGAUACUUAGUGUCCUUACCUUCUUAGUAGGUCCACAAGGCUCAUUCUCAUGUCACCACACACGAUGACAGAUGAUUAGCUGUGAAUUGUGUACAUUACAGACUCUCCUAGUCAGAGGCCGUUUGUACUUCCUUUGUUCCCAUGCUUUGAACUCCAUCUUAUGCAAUAACCCCUGCUUUGUCUUGAACUAUGCAUACUGUGUGUCUCAAGCAGGGUGAGUAGGACUUGCCUCCUGCUUUUAGACAAAGGCAGGCUGAUAGGAACAGAUAGAGAGGACUGGAACAGCUUGUGAGUAUGAGAAGUGUGAACCACGAGCAGAAAGUGACUCCUUCUCUGGACAAAGGUGUAAUGAUUGCCAAGUAGGCUGAUGUUGUUAGCAUAGAGGUUAUAUGUGGAGGAGGGAGUAGCAGGGAUAAGGGAAAAGGGCUGUGGCCACAUUCUGAGGGCCUUGAACCUGUGGUCAAGAGGACCAACAGAAAGUUUCAGAAAAGGAGCAGAGUGCUAAGAUCUGUAGUUACUAGAGGUGGUAGGUGACAUGGGGAUCUAUAUCUAUAUCUCACAGUUUUAAUAGUGAGAGAAGCAUCAACCAAGGUUUAAAAAAUAAAGAUCAGAAGGAAAUGUUUUAACAGUAUACUUAUGAGUGUUCCCCCACUCCUGUGUUUCUGAAUCUUACCAAUCUGUUCACUUGUUAAAGAGGUUUAUAAGUCUCUGGAUGAGGAAAGGUGGGCUGUGGAGAGAAGGUCCACCAGAAAAGAAAGCCUGGGAGUAGCUGAGGCAGCAAUGAACUGAGGAGGGCCAAGAAGACUAGAUCUAGAUUAGU